GAAGAAGGCCUUAGGGUUGUAAAGUUCUUUUGUCAGGGAAGAAAAGGCUUGUGCUAAUAUCACAAGCUGCUGACGGUACCUGAAGAAUAAGCACCGGCUAACUACGUGCCAGCAGCCGCGGUAAUACGUAGGGUGCAAGCGUUAAUCGGAAUUACUGGGCGUGAAGGGCGCGUAGGCGGCCCUGUCAGUCGGGUGUGAAAGCCCGGGGCUCAACCCCGGAACGGCACCCGAGACGGCAGGGCUGGAGACCGGGAGAGGAGGGUGGAAUAGCCAGUGUAGAGGUGAAAUUCUUAGAUAUUGGCUGGAACACCGGUGGCGAAAGCGGCUCUCUGGCCCGGUUCUGACGCUGAGGCGCGAAAGCGUGGGGAGCAAACAGGAUUAGAUACCCUGGUAGUCCACGCCCUAAACGAUGUGUGCUGGGCGUCGGGGGGCUUGCCCCUCGGUGCCGGAGCUAACGCGGUAAGCACACCGCCUGGGGAGUACGGCCGCAAGGUUAAAACUCAAAGGAAUUGACGGAAUC
rnacentral:rRNA from 1 species